rnacentral:rRNA from 1 species
UACGAGGGUGGCGAAUGUUGCCCGGAUUCACUGGGCGUAAAGCGUCGGUAGGAGGCUUGUCAAGUUAGGUGUGAAAUCCCCGUGCUCAACAUGGGAAUGGCACUUAAAACUGGCUGGCUAGAAGGUAAGAGAGGAUGGCGGAAGGACUGGUGUAGAGGUAAAAUUCAUAGAUAUCAGUCGGAACACCCAUGGCGAAGGCAGCUAUCGGGCUUAUUCUUGACUCUGAGCGACGACAGCGUGGGGAGCAAACAGG